rnacentral:rRNA from 1 species
CAGCAGCCGCGGGAAUACGAAGGGUGCAAGCGUUAAUCGGAAUUACUGGGCGUAAAGCGUGCGUAGGCGGUUUGUUAAGUCUGUUGUGAAAUCCCCGGGCUCAACCUGGGAAUGGCAAUGGAUACUGGCAAGCUAGAGUGUGUCAGAGGAUGGUGGAAUUCCCGGUGUAGCGGUGAAAUGCGUAGAGAUCGGGAGGAACAUCAGUGGCGAAGGCGGCCAUCUGGGACAACACUGACGCUGAGGCACGAAAGCGUGGGGAGCAAACAGGAUUAGAGACCCCCGUAGUCCCUGUCUCUUAUAC